rnacentral:rRNA from 1 species
UACGUAGGGGGCAAGCGUUGUCCGGAUUUAUUGGGCGUAAAGAGCGUGUAGGCGGUUUGGUAGGUCCGCUGUGAAAACUCGAGGCUCAACCUCGAGACGCCGGUGGAAACCAUCAGGCUAGAGUCCGGAAGAGGAGAGUGGAAUUCCUGGUGUAGCGGUGAAAUGCGCAGAUAUCGGGAGGAACACCAAUGGCGAAGGCAGCUCGCUGGGACGGUACUGACGCUGAGACGCGAAAGCGUGGGGAGCAAACAGGG